GUGAGUAACGCGUAGGAACGUGUCUUGGGGUGGGGGAUACGCUGGGAAACUGGCGCUAAUACCGCAUGUCUGCUGCGGCAGAAAGCCUUCGGGUGCCUUGAGAGCGGCCUGCGUCCGAUUAGCUAGUUGGUGGGGUAAAGGCUUACCAAGGCGACGAUCGGUAGCUGGUCUGAGAGGACGAUCAGCCACACUGGGACUGAGACACGGCCCAGACUCCUACGGGAGUGCAGCAGUGGGGAAUAUUGGACAAUGGGCGGAAGCCUGAUCCAGCAAUUCCGCGUGGGUGAAGAAGGUCUUCGGAUUGUAAAGCCCUUUCGGCAGGGACGAUGAUGACGGUACCUGCAGAAGAAGCCCCGGCUAACUUCGUGCCAGCAGCCGCGGUAAUACGAAGGGGGCUAGCGUUGCUCGGAAUUACUGGGCGUAAAGGGCGCGUAGGCGGCGCAGUUAGUCAGGCGUGAAAUUCCUGUGCUCAAACUGGGGACUGCGCUUGAUACGGCUGUGCUAGAGGAUGGAAGAGGCUCGCGGAAUUCCCAG
rnacentral:rRNA from 1 species